GACGAACGCUGGCGGCGUGCCUAAUACAUGCAAGUCGAGCGAGACUCUUCGGAGUCUAGCGGCGGACGGGUGAGUAACACGUGGGCAACCUGCCUGUAAGACUGGGAUAACACCGGGAAACCGGUGCUAAUACCGGAUAAUCCUUUUCCUCUCAUGAGGGAAAGCUGAAAGUCGGUUUCGGCUGACACUUACAGAUGGGCCCGCGGCGCAUGAGCUAGUUGGUGAGGUAACGGCUCACCAAGGCGACGAUGCGUAGCCGACCUGAGAGGGUGAUCGGCCACACUGGGACUGAGACACGGCCCAGACUCCUACGGGAGGCAGCAGUAGGGAAUCUUCCACAAUGGACGAAAGUCUGAUGGAGCAACGCCGCGUGAGCGAUGAAGGCCUUCGGGUCGUAAAGCUCUGUUGUUAGGGAAGAACAAGUACCGGAGUAACUGCCGGUACCUUGACGGUACCUAACCAGAAAGCCACGGCUAACUACGUGCCAGCAGCCGCGGUAACAC
rnacentral:rRNA from 1 species